rnacentral:rRNA from 1 species
UACGUAGGGUGCGAGCGUUGUCCGGAAUUAUUGGGCGUAAAGGGCUCGUAGGCGGUUUGUCGCGUCGGGAGUGAAAACCAGGUGCUUAACACCUGGCUUGCUUUCGAUACGGGCGGACUAGAGGUAUUCAGGGGAGAACGGAAUUCCUGGUGUAGCGGUGAAAUGCGCAGAUAUCAGGAGGAACACCGGUGGCGAAGGCGGUUCUCUGGGAAUGACCUGACGCUGAGGAGCGAAAGUGUGGGGAGCGAACAGG